AUGGAGUGAAUAUGAUGAUUCUGUGAAGGUUUAUUGCAACAUGACUUUUUCAGCACAGCAACAGGAAAAUUUGACUCUGGGUCUGUUCUACAAAAUUAAAGCUUUCUCAGCACAAAAAACAGCAUAGACUGUGAGUGAUGGCGGCCAUCUUGGUUCAUGUGUGAAGACUGAAUUUCAGUGACUACCAACGGCUAUUUCUUAGAAUGUGGCACUUACCCUGGGUUCAGGCUGUGGUCCUUCUACUGCCCAUGAAUGAAUUGCUCCAUCUGAACAUUCGGGAACAGGCUCAAAGCCAGCUGCACUACGAGGAGCACCUCCACAGUCACAACAGAUCAUCAAAAAUGGGACCACUGGUGGUGGAGGGAUAGUAAUACUAGAGUUAGCACUGGGUGCAAAUAAAAAACAAAACAACCUGA
rnacentral:antisense_RNA from 1 species